GAAGGUGAUUCCCUCAAGGAGCUAAUGUGCCCUUCUCAGGAACUUGUCAACUUGGAAGAAAACCUAGCAUGCCUAAGGUCCUUGCAGAGCAAGGGAUGCUUGUUUCUUAUGCCUUCCUUUGAUGGCCUACAUAU